rnacentral:rRNA from 1 species
UACGGAGGGUGCAAGCAUUGAUCGGAAUUAUUGGGCGUAAAGGGCGCGUAGGCGGUCUGGAAAGUCAGAUGUGAAAUCCCGGGGCUCAACCCCGGAGCAGCAUUUGAAACUUCCAGACUAGAGUACAUUUAGGGAAAACGGAAUUCCACGUGUAGCGGUGAAAUGCGUAGAUAUGUGGAAGAACACCGGUGGUGAAGACGGUUUUCUGGGAUGAAACUGACGCUGAGGCGCGAAAGCUAGGGGAGCAAACAGG